AUGUCCACCUCCACCGCAUCCAUCUCUUCUGGCCUCAACUACAACAUCGCAGAACCUCUUACCCGGACGAACUACGUUCUCUGGCGAGCCCAAGCACGAUCCCAGAUACUGGGCGCUGGCUUGUUUGGCUACAUCGAUCAAACCAUUGAGGAGCCUCCCAAAACAAUCUCUACCAAAGACAAAGAUGGCAAGGAUCAGGUAAUUCCCAAUCCUGCCUACAACCCCUGGUUAGUCCAAGAUCAACAAAUCAUAGCGUAUCUUCUCCGCAAUCUGUCCAAGGAGGUGCUGGUUCAAGUUGCCUCGCUUGAGUCAUCACAUGCGAUCUGGACUGCGUUGGCAAACAUGUUCUCUGCAGUUUCGUUGUCUCGAGUGAACAACAUCAGGUCGGCCCUCACAAACGCCCAGAAGGGGUCCAGUCGGCCUCCGCCUACUUCGGGCAGAUGCGCGCCCUCUCCGACGAGCUCGCGGCGACGGGCAAAUCGCUCGGGGAGGGAGAGCUGA
rnacentral:rRNA from 1 species